ensembl:processed_transcript
GAGGCCCUGGGAUCCGAACUGCCACCUCCGCCGCCGCCAUCCUCGAAGCCUCCAGGCAAGGCCUCCAGGCCGAGCGGCUCCGGAGCUGCUCACCCGCGCCCCGGCGCUCCGAAUCUAGGAACGUGAGCCCCGGGUCUCCCUUCUCCAGAGAGCAAAGCCGCCGCGAGCGGGCCGAGUCCGUCCCCUCCCGCCUUGGCUCCACGUCUCCGGCUCGCCUGCCCAAGUCCCGACGCCCCGGAAAAAGGCUUCCAGGGUCCCCAGUCCAUCCCACCCCCGGUACCGCUCCCACCCGGACCCGCGUCCCGAGCUUGACACUCCCAGCCUCCGCCACCCCCAACCGCAGCCCCAGCCCGCCUCACCUCAGGCGGCUCCGGCAGCACUGGACACAGGAAACUCCUGGGUCCUCGACUCCGGCUCUCCUCGACCCCCCUCUUCGGUUAACUCCGCUUGUUUUCUCGACAAAAUGGCGCCCGAGGUCGCGCGCUCACGUCGCGGCCUUUCCCCUCCCAGUUCCCAUUUCACCAUUCGCUGCCCGCUUUGGUGGAGGGAUGGCCCUAGCGCCCAGCCAAUGGCGGCGCGCUGGCCGCAACAGCCGUCCAAUCGCCGACGGGUACCCGCGGAUUUAAACCAAUCACACACUAAUCACUCGCAGAAGUCGAGGAAGAAACCAGGCUCCUGCUAGCAACCACCAAUCCAGACUCCUAGUUUGCGGGGCUCAGGCCAAUUGCCGCUCAUCAGCCCUAAGGGACUGGGUCCGAGCCCGGGCGCCUGCGCACCCGGGUGCAAGCUACUGGGUAGACGUUGGGAACUUCGAUUUGGGACUCGAAGACAUCUGCCUUCGAGGUGUUCGACCUAUGGGGACUGGCUGGUCAUUGCCUCCGGGAAACAAAAAAACACAGAAGGGAGCCCGUUAAUGCAUUGCCACCCUGCGCACAAACUACUCUAACUUAGAGACAGGGUGAUGCUCGUCUACUUUCCUUCGUCUUUCGAAAUGUCACGGUCCGAGAGGCCGUGCGGGUUCCUAGCGGAAGCAUUGUCCACCCCUCGGAUCUCUUUAGCCAGGAGCACCAGUCAUCAGAAAGCGUCAGACGCCGGGCAAAGUUGAGGUCCUUUGCAUCCUGGGUUAUGUAGUCGCACGCCCCGCCUAUUCCUGUCGCAAAAGUAACGUAGUCUCUUCCAUCACUGUCUGCGCCCUAGAGCAGCAAUGCAUGCUGGAGAAUGUAGUCUCCCAGAUGCCCACCUCAUCCUGGCUCUUUUAAAGUUUGUUUUCCAUUUGUCUUUUGAAGCAGGGACGCUUUGCAGAGAUAUAGGAACGGAAGUUCUCCUCCUACUCUUGGCCAUUCUCAAGGAUGUCAAUGCCUUUUGCUUCUUGGAUAAAAGGCUAUGUUCUCCACUGUGUCCUAUCUUUUAGGCUUUUUGUUUGAGUUUUGAAACAAGGUCUCUUUCAGUUAACGCAACUGUAGUCCAGGCUGGCCUGAAACACACUAUGAAUCAAUGACCUUGAGCUCCUUGCAAUCUUCCAAACUACUGAGAUGAAAAUAGACGUAACCUCUCAUACCAGUACUAUUUGAACUUUAAAGAGAUGUGUUAAAGACUUUUACUACUUAUUUUACGUGUACGGGCGUUUGCUUGCAUGUAAAUCUAUGCACCAUGCAUGUACAGUGUCCUCAGAGGUCAGAAGAGGAUGCCGGUCCCUCUGGAAGUGGAGUUACAGAUGGUUGUGAGCCACCGGGUGGGUCCUCUGGAAAAGCAGCCAGCUCUUGUAAUCUCGGUGCCAUCUUUCCAGCCCCUAGAUGAAAAAAAAAAAAAAAAAAAAAAAAAAAAGUGAGUGCUUGCCUAUAUAUAUGUUCACCAAGCAAGUGUGGGCCUGGUACCCAGGAAGGCAUUGGCUCCCCCGGGACUGAGAUGAGAGUCUCAGCAGUAAAGUUGUAAGCUGCCCUAUGAGUGCUGGAAACCCACCCCUGCUCAUCUGCAAAAACAGCUCCUCUCCAGCCCCCAUCUUGAACUUUUUUUAUCGAUGUUUUAUUUGUGCAAUUUAGCAAUAUGGGUGGGGGUUGUUUCGUUUUGUGGGUUUUGUUUUCUUUUGUUGUUAAAGAAGAAGAGAGACAAAGAUGAACUGGGACUGUUCUGGAGAAGGGGGAGGGGGACAUACAAGUCAACUACCCAAGAUCAAUUCUGUAAUUCUACAACCAGUUUAGUUCAAGCUUCAAUUGCCCCCAAACUGAAGGUAAGCUGAAAUAAAGCUGAUAUAAACGGGGCCUCCUGGAGGAGAUUCUUAAGCUCACUGCCCAUCUCUCCUCCGAGGUUAUACAUCACUACGAAAAUCUGACAGCCAUAAAAACUGAGCCAGGAUUUUCACAAUACCCUAAAGGUCAAAGUCCUUUGACUGUGUAUCUAGGCUGGGUGGUUCUUGUCUUUUCUAAAAUCGCUGAGAAGACCUUCAUAAAGGAUCUAGGAGGGUCACCUUCUAACUCAGCAAUUACGAAUGUUUGCUUUCAAACAUCCUUAAGAACAGGAUGUCCUAACGAGCAGACGAGCUCACCUUGCUGAUUCUCAGCCUUCUUCCCACCCUCCCUGUCCGACUUUCACAAAAUAUCCCGGGGCUAAAGUAAAAUACAACAGAAGAACUUGGUGUUAAAAGUAAAAAAAAAAAUUAAAAAUUAAAAGGUUUAUUUAUUUUAUGUAUAUGGCAGUGUAGCUGUCUUCAGGCACACCAGAAAAGGUGCAUCCAAUCCCAUUACAGAUGGUUGUGAGCUAACAUGUGAUUGCUGGGAAUUGAACUCAGGACCCCUAGAAAAGCAGUCAGUGCUCUUAACUGCUGACAGUUGAUGGCUCCUGGCGUAUAGAGAGAGUUUUAUAAGUUCACUGUGCUCCAGUGAAUGCCCCCUCAUCCGUGAGUAUGCAGGCAGAUCAAACUGGUCUCAAAAAAAAAGGAAAAAAAAAUCAGGCAGGCAGAAUGUCUCAUACCCUCAUGCCCUGAGCUCAGCACUCACAUUUAAGCAAAAGCAGUCAAAUCUCUGGGAGUUCAACCAGCCUGGUUCCAGGACAUCCAGAGCUACAUAAUGAGACCCUAUCUCAAAGGUGGUAGAGGGGAGAGACAGACAGACAGAGGGGACAACAAUGACACACACAGAACAACAUAAGUCUGGGCAGGGGCCUAAGAGGUGGGAUAGAUAUGAUAAAAAUACAUUAAAUACAUGUAUAACAUUCUCAAAAAAGUAACUGC